UUUUUCUUCACAUACCUCCUGCCUCACAGUGCCCCGCCUUCACUGCGUCCUCUGCUGGACAGCAUCGUCAACGCCACAGGCUGUGGAGGCAAAGGUGGGAGCAGCUGGCUGCUGACUUCAGGGAGGAGUGGGAGCCCCAGGCAUCCUGUCUUAGCCACACUGCACUCUGCAGGAGAGCUCGCCUGGGGGGUGGACGAGACCCUGGCCCAGCUGGAGAAGGUGCUGCACCUGUACCGGAGCGGGCAGUAUCUGCAGAACUACACGGCAAGCAGCAGUACCGAGUACCAGCGUAUCCCAGACAGCACCAUCCCCCAGGAAGACUACCGCUGCUGGCCAUCCUACCACCACGGGAGCUGCCUCCUUUCAGUGUUCAACCUGGCUGAGGCCAUGGAUGUCUGUGAGAGCCAUGCCCAGUGUCGGGCCUUUGUGGUCACCAACCAGACCACCUGGACAGGUCGGCAGCUGGUCUUUUUCAAGACUGGAUGGAGCCAAGUGGUCCCUGAUCCCAACAAGACCACAUAUGUGAAGGCCUCUGGCUGACCUAUCUGAGGGCUCGGCUGACCAGCUGACUAUCCUCAGCAGCUGGGCUUGCCUGUGGAGGGAGUGACUUGCACUGGCAGCGCUGCAUGUCACCUGGGAACCCCUGCAGACAAAGCUGACAUCCCAGACAGACCGAUGUGACCAGGACAAACGUGCAAUAAUGCCAAAUGUUAAAAUGUGAGUUUAUCAGCCUAGCUAUGGGACUGCUGGCUCCUAGUCCAGGAA
rnacentral:sRNA from 1 species